rnacentral:tRNA from 1 species
CAGGGAAUAGUUUAAGAAGAAUUCUAGCUUUGGGAGCUAGAGGCAGGAGUUAAAGUCUCCUUUCUCUGA